UUUUUUUUUUUUUUUUUUUUUUGCAUUCGAACAGGCUUCUUUAGUAUUGCAAAACUAAUGAAGAGAGUCAAGAGACUUGAUUAGAAGUGUCCCUCCUUCUGGUCUGAAAAAGACAAGCAGGUGCCAGGACAGGUGAGAGGGGGUAGAGCAUGGAAUGAGCUCUUGUGGACCUUUUGCUCCUCAGAAGUUGUUCAAAUUUCCAUUUUUUUCUCUAGGCUUUUUAUUUCGGAAGAUAUUAAACUUACAAAGAAGGUCUAAGAGUAGUACCAGGAACAGCUGAUGUCCUUUGGCCAGACCUCACCAUUGCUAGCAUUUUGUCACAUUUAUCUUGUCUUUCUCUCUACGGAAACUUCUUAUCUCCCUGAACCAUUUGAGAAACACAGACAUUAUGCUCUCUAAAUACAUCAGCAUGUCUCUCUUUAGACAUUCUCCUGUGGAACCACAAUAUCCUUCUAGCACUGGGGAAAAUUAAGUCAAUAUAAUACUUUUAUCUACAAUCCUUAUUCAUAUUUGCCUGCUGGUCCCAAGGAUGUUCUUGUAGCAGGGCCAAAUCCUGCUCACUGCCUGUUCUCAUGAAUAAAGUUUUAUUGGAACACAGCCACACUCAUUCAUUUAUACAUUGUCUGGGGCUGCUUUUGCAUUACAGCUGCAGAUAUGAGUGGUUGGGAAGGAAAAAUGUCUUGUGAGGUCUCCAAUGUUUUGUCACCUGCCCUUUUAAGAACAACUUUGGUAACUUGUCUAUUACCAUUGUGUCAUCCUGGAGCCAAACAAAAGUCAUAUUUUUGCCUAGGUUUCCAAUUUUUAAAUAUGAAUAAUACAUGAUUCCUAACUUAUGAACAUUUAUACACAAAUGACUUAUGUCAUUUAUACACAAAUGACAGUGGUCUCCCUAGUCUUUUGCUCCUAAGAAUUUUUGCUGUACUCACUUCCUCUGCAUCUCCCAUCAGUUCCUAUAAAUCCCUCCUCUGUGGAGCUGUUUGAUGUAGUGACAUGGAAUGUGCAUACCCCAUGUCUUUAUUCCUGUGAUUUCCUUUGCCUGAAACACCUCUUUGCCCUGUCUUGACAUUCAAUGCAAGUAUCACCUCCAGGAAAUCUCUGAACUUUUGUAACCAGCCAUUCCCAAGUCUCUUUUACCUACCAUCUGGUUGUCCAGGCUUCUAAAACCCACUGGAUUUUCUGAUGUUGAACUCAUACACUAAUGUAUUGAUUUAUCUUCUGUCAGUCUCACUACUGUUUUGUGGGGGCUUGGAGGGCAGAGACCAGAUCUCAUUCAUCUACCUUAUAUCUAACAUUAGGUUCUGAAGUGCUCAGUAAUCAUUUAUUGGAUGAAUGGAUGGAUUCCUCAAUGGCUCAAGAGCUUUUCUCCUAUUCCAGGCCCACCUUAGGGAUCUCCAGCUUUUCUUCCUCCUGUCUCUAAAAUUGACAUACUUAGUCUCACGGUUGACAACUUGCAUGUGGCCUUGGAUCCAUCUAAUGUAGGGACCAAAUUAACCAGUAAGGAAGGAGAGCAAGAAGGACAAUGGGACUGCAGUGUCCUUCCUCCCCACCUGGCCUCCCCAGCAGGAGUCCCAUUUCAACCUUCCACCGCUUCAUUCCUGACUACGGUAGUCAUUGGCAGUAGCUUAGAGUUGGGUACUUUGGCCACAACUGUGUGGCAGGUAGUAGUGAACGUUGAGUGUGCUGAGCAUCAUCUCAACUUCAUCCUCAUAGACACCUGAAAAGAGGUCACCACCCUCUUUGCUCCAGACCAGGAAACUGAGGUUCAGGGAAAUAGGUUUCGUGGUUAGGAAGUGUCAGGGCUGGUGUACAGACUUGACCCUGUCCCCUGCAGUGUACCUUUCCCUUAAAAGGGCUGAUGUGUCCCUGGCACCUCAAUUUAACCUCUGAAGGAACUUUUUGUCUCAUGCAUUGCUGGAGAAGGGGUUAGGAUCUGGUUCAGGACUGUCUAAUAGAGGGAGCAUUCUGUGACAAGUUGAAUGUCCUGGACUUGUUCUGUUUCAGUACGUACUCAGAGCACAUGCCACUUAUGAACCCAUAAAAUGUGGCUAUUGUGACUUAUUUAAUUUUAAUUGACAUAUUUAAUCCAAAUAGCCACAUGUGGUUAGUGCCCACGUCAGUGCAGACUAGAGUCAGUGUUGGCCAAGUUCAUCCUGGGUAAAUGUGCAGUGUGGGUUGGGUUAGCACAGUUUUCACAGAAGAAUUGGCAUCAAAUUCCAAGAAACCUGAUUAGCAACCAAUUUGUCCUGGAAUCGGGGACUGUAUUGCAUCACUGUGAUGAGCAUUGCUGACAGCUUUCAGGCUUGCAUUUGAGGCGACUGGCUCUUCCAGACUCCCAACAAGGCAGAGGGACUCUGGAAGGCCUUGGAGAGGAAAGGAGAUGUGGAAGGGAAGACCCAAGGGACCUCUGAGGGCGGAGCUACUAGAUAUUUACUCUAGUUACACUUCUCUGGGCGCCUGCCUGUGAUCCUUUUGGGGAUGUGGGAUUGCAGGGCUGAACUUGGCUUCUCAGCUAGAGUUGCCGCUGGAGCGUAGGCUCCCAGGAAAAUGCCUGCUCUCCUGGGAUGUGGUGUGGGCUGUUCUGCUAGAGGCAAUAGGCAAAAUGGUUACAAACCAGGGAUUUGAGACUGCACAUGCUGGUGUUAAAGCUUACGAGCUCAGUGGCCUUGGGCAUGUUUCUUCACCUCUCUGUGUUCAAGUUUCUCCAACCAUAACAUGGGGUUAACUUCAGAAACCCACAUCCUCAUUAGGUUCUCGAGGGAGUUAAACAAGCGAACACAUAUUAAGUGUGUGCCUCACUAGCACUGAGCAGCCAAUGAUCCUUGUGGUUUUAGGGCGCUGGUACAAGACUGUGAUGUCACAGUGUCUGAUCAGCACAGCCCUUAAGCUUCUGCUCUUGGCUUUUUUUCUUUCUUUUCUUUCUCUUUUUCUUUUUCCUCUUCUUCUUUUUCCCUUUACCAUCAGUUUCUGCCUUUCAGAACUCAAAAUACUUUUGGGAGCUUUGCAAAAAUUUGCUCCCAAAUCCUGGGAAAGGAUGUCUGUUUUCUCUUCUCAUCUCCCUCUCUCUGGAUAUUUAUAGUUCUGGAUUGAAAAGAGCUGCUUUGAUUUCUCAGAAUAGUUUCCACAAAAGUGUGGUGUUGGGCGGGCAGGGCCGGGUGGAAAGAGUGUUAGAGUUGGCAUUGGAAGGCCUGGGUGUGAAUCCUGCUUGCCAGCAUUGUGACCUCCAGCCCCAGGCCCAUGCCAGGGAAACCCCUGUGCCUCAGUUUCCUCAUGUGUGUGUGGGGAUGGAACAUCGUCAGAUGACAUGAUGCAGUGACCCCUCUGCACAGAGAAGACAGAAAUACCAGUUACAGCUGAGCAUUUAAAUCUUUCUCCAACUUUUCGAUGUUCAAACUCACAAGUUGAAAGCUACUUGGGGCCCUUCCUGGUUGGAUUCGAGGCUGGCAGCUGUCUGGAAGCAGUCUCAGAGCUCUGCAGUUAAGGCAGCAGACCCUGUCUUCCCAGCUCUCUGAUGUUCUGCUGCCAAGGGUUAGACUACUGGAGCAAAGCUUAGGAAAAGAACUGACUGCAAGCUGAGCUUAAGUUUGCCCUGUGGGCAUCACACCAGGAGAAUUGUUCCCCAGAGGCAGGGGGGUGCUAGGUGAAGCACUGACUUGAGAAGAAUAGCUUGACCUCGAUGGUUAGUGGGGCAGGUCCCCUGCCUGUGGCUGUCUGACUCCCCGAGGGCUCUGGGUAGAGUAAGGUGGGGGCCAACUCCUGGGCUGGGAGAAUAUUUCUUUCAGGGAAGGAGAAAGCAGGGAAGAGUUAGCAAAUUGCAGGAGACACAUAGAGAGUCCCUCCAUCUCUGAACACGAGGACAGUGUGGGAUACUGCGUGAAGUCCCAGGCAAGUGAUGUGAAGGGAAAGCCUGGGCCUGCAAGAGACAGGCCCAAAUUUAGUUUUGUCACUUUCCAGCAUGUGACCCAGGAUAAAUGUCCUCUUAUACCCUUGAGUUGCCCAUUAUUAAAAUGGGGAUUAAAGGUGAGGCAUUUAAUAUUGGGAGAAAUAUAUGCGAACCUUUUUCCCUGUGGCAUUUUUAAUAAAGGACACAUUGUGUGUUCCUGUGAUGACUUGCUUUGCUAUUUGCAGAAGGCUUUAUGGAGCCAUCGCAGAGUUUUGGGACGGUGCUGUGCUGGGUUGGUGGGGGUGGAGGCUGGUUUGGUGGUGGUGACAGUGGUGGUAUUUCUGGGACAACAUGUGAAGCCCUCGAUCCUGUGUACUGAAGGCCCAGUAUCUAGAGUUAGGGUAUAGGUUGAACUGUGUCCUCAGAAAAACUUAUGGUACCUCAGAAGGUGACUUUACUUAGGGAUAGAGACUUUCUAAAACUAAUCAGGUUAAAAUGAGUCACUAGAGUGGGUCCUUAUUUAGCAGGACCAGUCUCCAUAUGGGAGGGAGAAAUUGGGACACAAGGUCAUACAUAGAGGGAAGACGAGGAGACCAGACACAGUGAGAAGACACCAUGUAUAAGCCUAGAGGGAGACCCUGAGCAGAUCCUGCCCUCCCAGCCUCCAGGGGAACCGCUGCUGCCAGCACAAUGAUUUUGGACUUAUUGUCCUCUAGAACCGUGAGCAAAUGCAUUCCUGUCAUUUCAGGCACUCCAUCUGUGGCAAAUGAACAUGGAUAAUGGUCCCACACCUUUAAUAAGAGAAAAGUGAAGAGGGUGGCCCUGGGGGCACUCAGAUUCCCUGGCCACAGCCCUGCCCUGCCCUUAUUUCCUAUGUGGUCAAGGGCAGGUCCCUUCAUCCCUGAAAGCCACCACUUUCUCCUGGGGACACACAGGUACACUGAUGCCUGCCCUCCUGUUCAUUAGUGAUGAGGUGACACGGGAAGGUGGGUGGCAACUGCUGCUAUCCAUUCUCUUGUCCUGUUCUUAGCUCCCAGCUGGUGGGUUCUGCCCCUCAGCUGCCUACUCUCUUGAUGCUGAGAGUCUCUGGCAGUAGCAGCACACCCACAACCCCGGGAAGGCUUUGGGGCAGAUCUUUGGGUAUGGUUCUAUGAUAAAGCUGUUCUAGGAAAGCUUCCCUCUGGCCUGUGCUUUGGGAUGAGUUAAUGAAGGAACUGAUCUUUACCAGACAUCUGAUUUUUGCCUUCUCAUUUAAUCCUUACCACAGUACUGUGAAGUUGGUGUUAUUAUGCCCAUUGUGCAAACUGCGAAACUGAGCAUUGGAAGGCACAAGGAACUUGCCCCAGGUCUCCUGGCUUAGCAGUGGUGAUGCAGGAAUGUUAGUUCUUCCCUACAACUUGGUGCUGCAUUUGGAGAAGAAAGGUUGGUUUUCAGCUUCCAAACAUGGAGUUUUCUGCAUGUGGCUGUGGGCAGAGGUACAGAAAGGGCCUAUGCAGGGCUGCUGUUCAGAGAGUCCUCUGUCACCUCCCCUUCUUCCCCUCCCUUCUCACCUCCAUGAAAAAGGUGCCCAGCAGUUACGGAGGCUGCUGUUUCUUCAUGGAUUUUUAAUAAAGAUGAUAAAUGAAUGAAGCAUUGAUAAGAAAAGGCAAAUGGUAUUUGGGUCAUACAUUAUUCUAGUAAAAUGUAUUUUUCACUGCAGGUCUUAAGUGACUUUUUCGUUAAAAUGCCAUCACAGAAGGAAAGGUUAAACAAAAUGAGUUUUCCAUGGCAGAAGCGUCAACCAAGGGGCCUCUGCAGGGUGAAACUCUGGGACAGCGGCCCUAUAAGCUUUGCCGACUCUGGGGUGGCAGAAUUGUGUUCUGUUGUGCCAACAACAAUUUUCUCCCAGCAAGAAGAGUGGCUCCCUGAGAAAGGCUGGCAGGAAUCUCAGUAUCCUGCUCCCUGGAGGCCUGAUGGGGCCUGAGGACCUAAGAGAGUGGUCCCUGCAGCACUGUUAAGAUGAGCAGGCACAUGAGCCACCCACUCCCUGGCUGGCUUGGCCUCUGGUGUGGGGAGCUGCCUCUGUGUCCUGUGCCACUGCCUUGGGCCUGCAGCCAGAGGGGACUGGUCAGAGCUGUGUUGGGCAGAGCUUUUCACAGGCUUCCUGUUGGCUCUGAAGGAGGCUUCUCCCAUGAGCAGGACCCCGAGAGCUUCCCUUGAUCUGAUGUUUGCAGGUCCUGGGCCUUAAAGACACUGGGUACCACCUGGUGAAUUGCUUCUCAUAUUAAGGUUAUUUUUUCCCUCCCUGAAUCUUCCUCGAGCAAAUGUCUCUUUUAUGCUUUGGAAAGAUCUGUCAUAACCAUUGUGUACAUUGCACCCUGUCUUGGCCUGUUCCACUUCAUAUGUUGAACACUCAUGAGAGUGUCCUUGGUGCUAGGUCCUGUUCUAAGGACCGAGGGCACAGAGAUGAUCACAUCUCAGUCCCUGCUGUCCCCAAGCUCCCCUGUAAGAUAGGAAAUGAGCAGACAGUUCUAGUGUGAGGCCAGCAAUGGACAGUGAGAUGACCCCUACACUGCGUAUAAAAACACCUUCAGAGCCAAGGGUUCUGGGUCCAAAUAACAUCAACCUUGGACACAAUUUCUUUGUCUCUCUGGGUCCGAGAUUCUGUAGAGUGUAGAUGUAAAAUAGCAAAAUUAGAUGGAAAAUAGCAAAAAUCGAGGGGAAGGGAAAGGCAGCCCGGAUGUGAUUAUUGGGCUGAAUUUCCAAAGGCUGGAUAGCCAUUUGCUAGGCAAACAUUAAAUCUCUAGACCGACACUUAAGGAGGACUUGCUGGGUGCAGGGUCACAUUCCUGGCAUUCCAUACCCCUCAAGCCUUUGCUCCCCUCCUGGCGGCCUGUGUGGGAGGUGCUCUGACCUGGCGCGCCUCUGCACCUCUGUUUUCCAACUCUGGAAGCAGAAGCUCAAGUGAUGCAGCGAGGAGGUGCUGGGGCCGAGGUGCAAGCCUGGGCAGGCUGAGGCUCCCAUACCCAGGCCCUGUGGCCUUGCCAGGAAGACAUUCCAGAUUUGGAGAGAAAUGGAGUGUCCUAUUACAUCAGGACUGCUUUUUCUCUAUUUUAAUAUGCCACCAAUUCUACUACUCAACAUCGAUUUAAUAAUACUUUUUCAGAGGAGAAAACUACCGCGAUGGAAGUAUUAUAUCAAUAGUAGGAUUCAUCUCAGAAACAUUGCAGUGUGAAAAAGAAAUGAGCAUCUUGGAAUCCAGGGGAUACGGUGUUUUCUAAAAAUCAUGGUAGAGACAGGGCACCGUAUGGGGAGCUUGGUGGCACUGGCAGACCUGGAGAGGGCAGAGUGGUUGAGGUCCAUGUCCACCCACCCUGCCGCCAGCUGACUUCCAUUUCAAUCAUUCGGGCCCACUUUGGGGACAGUUCAAGCAGCUCAAGAACACUCAUAGCUGAAUUCUUCUUCAAUCAAGUUGGACAACUAAUCAGCUUCCAUUUGAAGCUGGCGAACUGUUUGACUCAGUAGAUAGACAAGUGCUGGCUGCGGUCACCAGGAAUGUGGGCACGUCUUCUUGAUGGUUGGUGGUCAUGAGAGCCAGUCAAGUGGCAUAAAAGUACCUUACAUUCAGAGCCAAGGGUUCUGGGUCCAAAUGACACCAACCUUGGACACAAUUGCUUUGUCUCUCUGAGUCUAAGAUUCCCCUUCUGUAGAGCGUAGAUGUAAAAUAGCAAAAUUAGAAAUUAACAGUUCCUGUGUGCUUAGCAUAUGCCACAUAUUGUCCUGUUUCUUACAAAUGACUGGUGUAAUCCUAGGAGGUAGAUAUUGUUAUCUCAAUUUUUCAGAUGAGCAAAGAGAGGGACUGGACUUUUUCCUAAAGACAUAGCGAGUAGGUGGCAGAGAUAAGGGAUGAAACCAAUCUCCCUAGUUAUAGGGCCUGUUCUUUUCACAAUAAGGGUACUGGGUUAACAGCAGUAAUUGCUGCACUUAAAAAAAAAAAACAACAAAAAUUCUAACAAAGGCCUGGGGGUGUGGUGAGUGGUAGAGCACUUGCCCAGCAUGCAUGAGGCCCUGGGUUCAAUCCCCAGCACCACACAUGCAUACACAAAAAAGGAAAUCAAAACAAAACAACUAACAUGAAAAAUGAAAUCUAACACAGAGCUCCAAAAAUUAAACAGAUUUUAAAAUGGGGGUCUUUCUGGUUAGGGAAGGGUGAGGUUCUCCUGUGUGAAGGAGCCUGGAGGUACAUCUGUGGCAUCCUAAAGUUUCUUGCAAGAGCCUGAAAACAGCUGGACUGGACCAUCUCCAAGGGCCAUCCAGUGCUAGUGUCCUGGGACUAUGUGGGAAAAUCACACAGCUUGCAUCAGAGUCUCAUUGAGUCCCAUGGUCCUCCUGUGCAGACUGAUGACAUGCACCUCUUCUAUCUAAUAUCCUUGAAGUAUCUGUCCAACAUUUAAUUUGUUGGGAAUAGGGAGAAACAUUUUCUGGUAAUAGAAUCUGUACACCUUUUUCUUUCUGUUCUUUAGACUAUAAAAUGCACUGAACAUAGCAUCUGAAAUUACUUGGGAUUGUAGUUUUGCUGCAUCUUUUUCUGUCAUUCGUAACUGGAUGGCAUUAGCCACUCAUGAACUAAAGAAAAUGGUGGCUGACACUGAUACCUCAGAAGUAUUUGCUGUGUGCACAUAGUACUGUGUUCUGCUUGACCCCAGAAUUUCAGCUGAUGCUGCCAACUUCAAGGUGCUGGCAGCUGGCAGUAGGGUUGGUGAGGUGGUUGGCAGUUGCCUGGUGCAGCCUCCACAUGCAAACCGAGAAGAUACUCAACAGAGGUGGUAAGUUGGAGCCAGCUAGAAAUUUCACAUUUGUAUUUACUUUACUCAAGGCCGCCAUCUUGCACAGAAGUGAGAUUGAAUUAUUUUUCACGAGUUAUGUGUAUUUCAUAAUUACCCAUGAAUGGAAGCCUCAGUUAACUGGUGCCAUGUUGGGAACUUACUACACAGACACUUUUGCAACCUCCGUAGAUGACGCUCCAGGCAGACAUGGUGGUUGUCAUACAGCCUACCCAUGACUGGGAUGCAGGGUGUGUGCUAAGAAUUCUAGGGGUAAACUUUGUGUGAGUGGAAUCCCCUAUAAUUUUAUAACCUGCACAGCCCUGAUGGCUGACUCCCUAAUUGAGCAUAGGAGUUUGACCUUCUCUACUGCACAGUUGUGAGAACACUGGGAUUAUUUUGGUCCCCAUCUCACUGUGCUUACUUGAACAACUAAUACCACUCCCUUCUCUGCCCACAUUUCCUCCUUUGAACCUCAAGUUUUGUCCACGGAGCCUUCUUAGAUCCCACCAAUUCUACCUGAUGAUUUUGCUUUAUCCAUGGACUUAGUACUCUGUUCAUUUCUGGUGUUGACCUGUGUCUGAUCUAGGCUAUAGGGAUGUUGAAAAGACAGGGGUUGCAAACCAGAUUUAUGUCCAGAUAGUCCUGCAUCACAUUCUCACAGACCUCAGCCUCUUUCCCAUAAUAUGCUGAAAAUCUUUGGAGAAGAGUCCAUCUCUUUGAGACAAGAGCCCUUGGUCCAGCCAGGCUGUUCCAUCUGACCAUGGAGCGUGUCUGAGGAUGCUCGUGAUCUGAUAAGCCUCUGGCUGAGGGAGGUGUAUCCUUGCAGGAAGACUUGCCCAUUACUUUAAUGUUCUGGUAAUUCCAUUAAGGAAAUGAGGUAAGUCUGGCAGGAUGUGUACUUGGUGGGUGUGUUCAUUUCCUAGGGCUGCCGUAAUAAAGUACUGCAGAGUGGGUGACUUAAAACAGGAAUUUAUUCUUUCAGAGUUCUGGAGUUUAGAGCUUGGAAUCAAGGUGUCUGCAGGGUAUCCUCCCUCUGAAGACUCUAGAGAAGAAUUCUUCCUUGCCUCUUCUGAGCUUCGGGUGGUUACUGGCAAUCCGUGGAGUUCCUUGGCUGAUAGAUAGAUCACUCCAAUUGCUGCCUCUGUCUUUAGAUGUCUUUCUUUAUGUGUCUUUGCAUCUCUGUUUUCUCAUCUUAUAAGUAGUCAUUGGAAUAGCGCCCAUUCUAAUCUGCCAUGACCUCAUCUUAACUAAUCACAUGUGCUGAGACCCUAUUUUCAAAUAAAGUCACAUUCUGAA